AGUGAACGCUGGCGGCAGGCCUAACACAUGCAAGUCGAACGGCCGCACAGUAAGCGCUUGCUCCUACGGGUGGCGAGUGGCGGACGGGUGAGACAUACAUCGGCAUCUACUUUUUCGGGGGGGAUAACGGAGGGCAACUUCCGCUAAUACCGCAUAUGUCCUACCGGAGGAAGCAGUGGAGCUACGCACCUUUCCCGUUUGUAAUAGACGGUGUCGGAUUAGCUAGUUGGCUGGGUAAAGGCUCACCAAGGCAACGAUACGUAGCUGGUCUGAGAGGAUGAUCAGCCACACUGGAACUGAGACACGGUCCAGACUCCUACGGGAGGCAGCAGUGGGGAAUAUUGGGCAAUGGGCGCAAGCCUGAUGCAGCCAUGCCGCGUGAGUGAUGAAGGUCUUCGGGUUGUAAAGCCCUGUUGUUGGGAAAGAAAAGCAGCAGAUUAAUACCCCGCUGUUCUGACGGUACCCAAAGAGUAAGCACCGGCUAACUUCGUG
rnacentral:rRNA from 1 species